UUGCAAGUAUAAAAGUUUAAUUCCUUAGCUACCACAUAACAUUACAUUUGAUUAUUUACAUAACACUUCAAACACACCAACAAAGACUUUAAAUGCAAGGACUUGAAAGUGAUCAAAAUGACAUAAUUUGGUAAGGCACCAAGUGCACCAAACCAACACAAUUUCAAAAGCUUAAACAUACCAAAAAAUACAUUACAAAGAUCAUAUACAUGUUAUUAUUAACCUUGGCCAAAAUACACAAAAUCUACCGAAAUAGUUGAUGGAUAAUGUGAUAGUUCUCCCAUAAGCUUCCAACCGAUCGAGCUUCUGAUAAUCUAUAAAAAAAAAAGAAAGAAAAUACAUAAGCAACGAGUGCUUAGUAAGCUCAUAUAAACUUAAACUUAACUUACCAUUUCAUUUAUAAAUUUCAUAAAUUAGGCAUAAAUCAUUACCAAUACCAUAAGCUUAACUUAAGCCUAUACAACAUCAUCAAAUUCACAAGUUAGCACACUUAUUCAUGAUACUAUUGAAUUCUACUAUAAGAUAAGUAGUUUACCAUAUAUAAACACAUCAUUAAUGUUGUCAUAAGAUCAUGAUUCAUUACAUUUGCAUACUUACCAUUUUAUUUCCUUUUCUUACCCGUUGAACCAUCAAGAAUUAUGUUGAAUACUCGGGAAAGCUCACACAUAGUGUGCCUUUACAUAUAACCGUAACCUUUCCUUUACAUCAAUACUGUAACACCCCCUACCCGUAUUCCGAGCCUAGAAUAGGGUACGAGGCAUUACCAAACUUAAUAUGAUCAAUCAUGUAAAAAAAUCAGCCAUAAAAUUUUUUCUAAAUUAAAAACUUUCAUACAUAUGUUUAACGUCUCUUAUAUGGGCCUACGGGGCCCAAAACAUACAUUCAGGGUGGUUCGGGACCAAACCGUAAACAUAUAAAACUUUUGCAACACUUAGAAAAUUUUCACACUUUGGAGAGUCACACGCUCGUGUUUUCAACCCGUGUAACUCUUUGUUUAUAACUUCAUCACCCUUGUCAGUCAUACACUUCAUAUAAAUAACAAGAAACGUGUAUGGGCUUAAUUCUCAUUCAAUUUCUCACAUAUAUACACAAUUUCACGUUAUGUAAUCAUACAACAUAUAUCAGCCAUAUCUCUGUAAUCUAAAUAUAUUUUCAUAACAACUUAUCUUGAUUUCAGACUAUUUCAUAUUUAAGCUUAAAUAACCAAAGUAUUUGAAAUAUCAUCUUUAUGCAAAUAGUACACAUGAGGUAUAUAAUUCUAUAAUUAUGAAUAAACACAUUUAUCAAACAUUUUCCAUAUUCAUAUAUCAAUGUCUCAUGUCUCCAUAUAUCAAUAACCGUCAUUUUCAUGAAUUCCGAGUUCAAUUUCAUAAUUAUUUGUCUCGUGUUCAAUUUAUUCCAUAUCGAAAUUUUAUUCAUUAAACAUUUGAAUUAUCAAUACAUAUAGACAGUACAUUCAAGAUGAACAAUUAUAUAAUCACAAAUGAAUUCAUUUAUCAACCAAGUUCUAGACUCGUAUCUUAUCAACUUGUACUUCCUUGUAUCACAUAAUUCCAUGUAACACUUACCAAACUUUGUCAAAUUAGUGAACGUCUUACGAAAUUGAGUACUUCGUUUUCUCGAUGCCAUAGUUCAACUAUGGUCUUACACAUCUUCACAUAAUGAUGCCAUAGCCCAACUAUGGUCUUACACAUAUUCAUAUAUCGAUGCCAUAGUCCAGCUAUGGUCUUACACAAAUCACAUAUCUCACUGAUGCCAUAUCCCAAAUAAGUUCUUAUACAGUAGCAUAUAUCACACCGAUGCCAUAUCCCAGAUAUGGUCUUAUACAGAAAUCACUUGUCACUUGUCACUUGUAGCCGAAGCUACCACUAUUCACUGAUCAGGUAGCCGAAACUACCACUUUUCACUGAUUAGGUAGCAGAAGCUACCACUUUUCACUAAUCAGGUAGCAGAAGCUACCACUUUUCACUAAUCAGGUAGCAGAAGCUACCACUUUUCACUUGUCAUUUGUCAUUGAUUAGAUAAGUGUAGCCGAAGCUAUCACUUAUCACUUGUUGCCAGGGUCCAACCAUGGUCUUUUCCUUCAAUUCAUCUUAUCACUGAACUAAAAUGUUCAAUUUGAUCAUUUAUUCAAUUUUCAUGCUUUUACAUUAUUCACGAUUUUAUCAUCAAUACAUAUGAAAUAACACAUCAUGAAAUUCAUAAAAUUAACAAAUAAUCAUUAAAAUUUAGCCAUAUAAACUCACAAGUUCAAUUUUUGUAUUAUAACGAUAAUCAUAAUUUCAUAAUAAAUAUACCAAAUAAAAUAUUAUAUCAUUUCUAAUCCAACACUUAUCGAUUAUAAUCGGGCAUGUGAUCAAUUUAUACACGAGUCAUUCAUAUAUUUUUGUAUAUUUUCCUCCUCCUCCUCUCCAUCCACAUCCUUAGUAUAAAUAACACACUUGUAGGUAACAUUAUCCAUAAUUUUCACUAUCUACUUAUGUGAAUAUUCAAGCUGUCCAUCUGUGUCAUAGUCACUAAAUUAUUUUUAUCUUGAGCUACAGAACUCCAAAUUAAGAUCCAUAAAUUUUCCCAAAAACUAGACUUAUAUGUCUUCUUACCAUAACAAUUUCAUAAUUUUUGGUUACGCCAAUUAAUACAGUUUAUUCAUUGAAGUCUCCCCUCUUCUGCUGUCUGACAGUUCCGACCCUUCUUCACUAAAAAUUAAUUAUCUUCUCGUACAAGAUUCGAAUGAUGUCCUUGUUUGUUUUUCUUGAAAAUAGACUCAUUCAGGAUACUAAACAUAUAAAUUUAAGCCUCUAAUUAUUUUUAUCCAAUUUUUUAUGAUUUUCCAAAUUCAGAAUAGGGGAAUACGAAAUCAUUCUGACCUUUUCUCACAAAAGUUAUUGUAUCUCAUGAUUUACAAUUCCAUUGCUUACAUAAUUUCUUUUAUAAGAAACUAGACUCAAUAAGAUUUAAUUUCAUAUUUUAUUCAUCCUCUAAUUCGAUCUCUAAAAUUUUUGGUGAUUUUUCAAAGUUAAACUACUGCUGCUGCCCAAAACAGUUUUAGUGAAAAAUGUUGAUUUCCAUUUUACCCCAAAUUUCACAAUUCAUACAAUUCAAUCCUUGCUCUAUUAACCCCUCAAUUAAGAUAAUUUUCUCAAUUAAUACUUUUUCUAGGCAUGAUAAGUUAUUUCAUAACUAUUGAAAUUCAGAAUUUCCACAUAAAACUCUAACUUCAAACUCUUUUACAAUUAGGUCCCAAACAUUCACUUUCUAUUCAAUUCUUUCAAUAAAAUCAGAAUAUAAACAAUUUAAAGCUCCAAUUCCAUGCCAAAUCAUCAUAUACUUCCAGCACUCAUCCAUAACAACUUCAAAAAUUAGACAUGGAAUCAAAAACUAAUGAAAUAGUAAGUUGGACCCAAUUGUAAAAGUCCAAAAACAUAAAAAUGUCAAGGAGAAAGCAAGAAUUAAACUUACAUGAAGCUAGAGUAUGAAAACCAGCUUGAACCCUCCUCCAUGGCUGUUUUUCAGCUGAUGAAUAUG
rnacentral:lncRNA from 1 species